ACUAUUUUGACAGAAUUAAUGUGUUAGAUUUAGGAUCUAUUUAUGUAAUAAAUUUACAUGUAGUA
rnacentral:tRNA from 1 species